rnacentral:tRNA from 1 species
GCCCCCGUCGUAUAGCCCGGUCAAGUAUACCGGCCUCUCGAGCCGGGGAUCCCGGGUUCAAAUCCCGGCGGGGGCA